GUUUCAUGGGGCCCCUGCCAGGCCCUGCGGCCUCUGCAGCCUGGCCCAAGGCACCAUGUCCCUGAAAUGCAGGGAAGGAGUGUCUCCUCAGCCCCCGGCCUGCCUGCCUCAGCCUGCAGGGUGUGGUUAAUCGGGAGAGGCUGCCAGCACCCCUGUCCUGGCCCUGGUGGGCUGGGGAAGUUGGGGCAGACAAGAGAACAGAAGCUGGUUCUCUCUUUUCCUGCUUCCCCCCAGGACCGUCUGCACUGGGACCAGAAAGACACUUUAAUUCACAGGUUCUGA
rnacentral:lncRNA from 1 species